AACUUUGAAACUUGUGCAUUUGCGUUUACCCAUUCGCACAAACCUUGUGUAUAACUUUGUCAUUUGUAUGUCUGUGCAUUUGCACUUACCCACUGUACAGAAUAUUAUAUUUUGUGACGUUUGUGCAUUUGCGCUCACCCACUGCGCAAUGAGCCUAUUGAUGGGCCGUCACGUAUUGUUGUAUUGUUUGAAUUGUUGUGAGGCAGCCCAUUGGUAGCCUAAAGUCACUGCGGCCAGUAACGCCAAACCAUAAUAAAGUAUCUAGUCCU
rnacentral:sRNA from 1 species